GGACUACUGGGGUAUCUAAUCCCGUUCGCUCCCCUGGCUUUCGCCCCUCAGCGUCAGGCGCCUCCCAGGACACUGCCUUCGCCUUUGGUAUUCCUCCGGAUCUCUACGCAUUUCACCACUCCACCCGGAAUUCUAUGUCCCUCUGAGGUCCUCGCAGUCCGACCGUCUGCCCGGCACUCCCGCCGUUAAGCAGCGAGCUGGCACCGGACACGCGCCGAACCGCCUGCGGGCCCUUUACGCCCAGUAACUCCGGACAACGCUCGCCCCCUACGUAUUACCGCGGCUGCUGGCAC
rnacentral:rRNA from 1 species